rnacentral:rRNA from 1 species
GAUGAACGCUGGCGGCGUGCCUAAUACAUGCAAGUCGAGCGAACGGACGAGAAGCUUGCUUCUCUGAUGUUAGCGGCGGACGGGUGAGUAACACGUGGAUAACCUACCUAUAAGACUGGGAUAACUUCGGAAAACCGGAGCUAAUACCGGAUAAUAUUUUGAACCGCAUGGUUCAAAAGUGAAAGACGGUCUUGCUGUCACUUAUAGAUGGAUCCGCGCUGCAUUAGCUAGUUGGUAAGGUAACGGCUUACCAAGGCAACGAUGCAUAGCCGACCUGAGAGGGUGAUCGGCCACACUGGAACUGAGACACGGUCCAGACUCCUACGGGAGGCAGCAGUAGGGAAUCUUCCGCAAUGGGCGAAAGCCUGACGGAGCAACGCCGCGUGAGUGAUGAAGGUCUUCGGAUCGUAAAACUCUGUUAUUAGGGAAGAACAUAUGUGUAAGUAACUGUGCACAUCUUGACGGUACCUAAUCAGAAAGCCACGGCUAACUACGCG